CUUGGAUGGGUGACCGUUUUUAUAGAUAAUGGUACGGAACCCUUCGUGUGCGAGUCCGACUAGCACUUGACCGGUUUUUUAAUAUCACCUUUCUUUCAUAUGACAAUCGGAUUUUAAGUAUUCGGAAAUAGCACAGUCGUGAUUUUCUUCUUU